AACGAACGCUGGCGGCAUGCCUAACACAUGCAAGUCGAACGAGACCUUCGGGUCUAGUGGCGCACGGGUGCGUAACGCGUGGGAACCUGCCCUUAGGUUCGGAAUAACUCCCCGACAGGGGUGCUAAUACCGGAUAAUGUCUUCGGACCAAAGAUUUAUCGCCUUUGGAUGGGCCCGCGUUGGAUUAGCUAGUUGGUAGGGUAAAAGCCUACCAAGGCGACGAUCCAUAGCUGGUCUGAGAGGAUGAUCAGCCACACUGGGACUGAGACACGGCCCAGACUCCUACGGGAGGCAGCAGUGGUGAAUAUUGGACAAUGGGCGAAAGCCUGAUCCAGCAAUGCCGCGUGAGUGAUGAAGGCCUUAGGGUUGUAAAGCUCUUUUACCCGGGAUGAUAAUGACAGUACCGGGAGAAUAAGCUCCGGCUAACUCCGUG
rnacentral:rRNA from 1 species